AUUGAACGCUGGCGGCAGGCUUAACACAUGCAAGUCGAGCGAGCGGCGGACGGGUGAGUAAUGUCUGGGAAACUGCCUGAUGGAGGGGGAUAACUAAUGGAAACGGUAGCUAAUACCGCAAACCAUCAGAUGUGCCCAGACGGGAUUAGCUAGGAGGUGGGGUAAUGGCUAACCUGGGCGACGAUCCCUAGCUGGUCUGAGAGGAUGACCAGCCAGACGGUAACUGAGACACGGGCCAGACUCCUACGGAAGGCAGCGGUGGGGACUAUUGCACAAUGGGCGCAAGCCUGAUGCAGCCAUGCCGCGUGUGUGAAGAAGGCCUUCGGGUUGUAAAGCACUUUCAGCGAGGAGGCGUUACUCGCAGAAGAAGCACCGGCUAACUCCGUGCCAGCAGCCGCGGUAAUAC
rnacentral:rRNA from 1 species